rnacentral:rRNA from 1 species
UACGGAGGGUGCAAGCGUUAUCCGGAUUCACUGGGUUUAAAGGGAGCGUAGGUGGGCUGGUAAGUCAGUUGGUGAAAUCUCCGGGCUUAACCCGGAACUGCCGUUGAUACUAUCAGUCUUGAAUAUUGUGGAGGUAAGCGGAAUAUGUCAUGUAGCGGUGAAAUGCUUAGAUAUGACAUAGAACACCGAUAGCGAAGGCAGCUUGCUACACAAAUGAUUGACACUGAGGCUCGAAAAGCGUGGGGGAUCA